GCGACGCACCCUCAUGUGAUCAUGGUCCUGCUUUAACAGUUUCCGCGCGGCAUCCUUGAAAACAGGACGUGUUGAUUUACCGGGGAGUCCCACGUGAAAUUCUUGAAAGGAUAAAUUGGAAAUUGUUCGAGUUCAAUCUGAAAAUUGUGAAUGAUGUGAAUAAGUUGUCUUUUACAGAAUUACACGAAAAGCAUUUCGAAUGUAUGACAUGCAGAAAUAUAUAAAAUAGUUGAUUUAUAAGACUCAAAGUUUUGCUACUCAGUUGCUUCAGGACUGAUUUUUCGAAAAUAUUUUCAUCAACUGACUUCAAGCUCCACUAUCCUCAUAAACAAUCUAUCAUUCAAGAGAAUUAUAAAGUUAAAAUCAAAAUAUAUCGCAGAUCAAAUUCCCCUGUGAAAAUAAACACUUGUUAACUGUAAUAUAUAUGUGGGUGUUACUCAUGUUUUGAUGAAAUCAACAGACAAUGUCUUCGUAAACCCUCCAUUCUGUCAAACUACAAAACGGUGUGCAAAUCUGGAUAAGCUACGUGAUCUGCAGUCGUGUUGAAAAUGGAAGAAUUUGCAGUUCUGGCUAGACAUAUUUUCACGUUCAUCCUGCUCGGGAUUCUCAGUG